rnacentral:rRNA from 1 species
CCUACGGGAGGCAGCAGUGGGGGAUAUUGCACAAUGGGGGGAACCCUGAUGCAGCGACGCCGCGUGGGUGAAGAAGCGCCUCGGCGCGUAAAGCCCUGUCAGCAGGGAAGAAAAUGACCGUACCCGAAGAAGAAACCCCGGCUAACUACGGUCCAGCAGUCGCCGUAAUACGUAGGGGGCCAUCGUUAUCCGGAUUUACCUGGUGUAAAGGGGGCGCAGACGGCGGUGCAAGCCAGGAGUGAAAGCCCGGGGCCCAACCCCCGGACUGCCCUUGGAACUGCGUGGCUGGAGUGCAGGAGGGGCAGGCGGAAUUCCUGGUGUAGCGGUGAAAUGCGUAGAUAUCAGGAGGAACACCGGUGGCGAAGGCGGCCUGCUGGACUGCAACUGACGUUGAGGCCCGAAAGCGUGGGGAGCAAACAGGAUUAGAUACCCCAGUAGUC